GAUGAACGCUGGCGGCGUGCCUAAUACAUGCAAGUCGAACGAGGACCCUUUGUAUUCGUACGGAGGACUCCUAGUGGCGAACGGGUGAGUAACGCGUUGGUGACCUGCCCCGAAGAGGGGGAUAACAGCUCGAAAGGGCUGCUAAUACCCCAUGUGGUCGCGAAGGUUAGAGACUUUGCGACUAAAGGAACGUCCACUACGGUGGGCGCUUUCACUUCGGGAGGGGCCUGCGUCCCAUCAGCUAGUUGGUAGGGUAACGGCCUACCAAGGCGAUGACGGGUAGGGGCCUGAGAGGGUGGUCCCCCACACUGGCACUGAAACACGGGCCAGACACCUACGGGUGGCAGCAGUAGGGAAUAUUGCCCAAUGGGCGAAAGCCUGAGGCAGCAACGCCGCGUGCACGAUGAAGGCCUUCGGGUUGUAAAGUGCUUUUCUGGAGGAAGAGAAAGGACGGUACUCCAGGAAUAAGGAUCGGCUAACUACGUG
rnacentral:rRNA from 1 species